AACCCCUACGAAAGCAUCGUCAAAUAAGUGUGCUAGGGCGCCGAUGUCUGCGGCCCAAAGAAAAUUGCCUGUGUUUAGCGUGGUGUGCCCUGCACCGCCGUUCUCUGCGGUCAGCGGCGGCGAGGGAAGCGACGUAAACAACAAAGCCCGGACGCCCGCCAGGACGCGGGGGUUAAAUUUCACCUUCAUCUCGGCUCCAAAGCUGCUGGCGAUGGUUUUGAGGCUCCUUCCUUCAGUUUAACCUGCCGCACUACACCAGGAGCCAUGAUGCAAUCCCUUGAUUUAUGAUCUCGGCACAUUUGUAGUAUCGAGGGGCCUCCCUACUGCUCUUGGCAGUACAGUUCUUGGCCUCAAGAUGGCUGUAUCUCUGACAAUGAUAACAUGUAAUUGCAUGAUACACAAGUACCAAGUGGUAUUAACAUCAAGAACAGCCUGGACUUCCUGACUCAACCAAAUAUAUUUUGGUCAAGUCAUUACAAAUAUUCAUGGAGUAGCAAGACAGAGUGCAAGAACAAGGAACGAAAAUUGAACUAUAAAACCUAUUGCCAGAAUUUGCAGUAUUAGAUACUGGUUUUGGUAAGGAUGUAUAUGAAUUAAUGUGUUAUCAUCUGAAAAAACUAUACAUUAUGUAAGAAGAGAAAGUGAAAAUAUUACAACAAAGUGUAAUGUAUGUCUAAAAUUAGAAAAGAAAUGUAUAACUGAAAACAGCUGCUGUGACAGCUAAUAGUGCAAUACUUUGAGUGAUUUAGAUUUUUGCAUUUAGUCAAUAAAAAUGUUCAAGAGUGCUGAAUGUGAACAGUGUGGAAAAUGUUUCACAAGAAAUAGCCACCUUACUAGGCACAGGCUUAUUCAUACAGGUGAGAAAAAAUUUGAAUGUCAGCAAUGUGGUAAAUUUUUUAACAGAAAAGGAGACCUUACCAGACACAUGCUCACUCACACUGGCAUUAAGAAUUUCAAGUGUGAGGAAUGUGGAAAGAUGUUUAACAGAAACAGCCACCUUACAAGACACAGCAGAGUGCAUCUUGAUACCAAGCAGUUCAUAUGUAAGGAUUUUGGAACUCUGUUCAUUGGGAAUGACAAUUCUAGUCAAAUGGUAACACACACAAAUAUGAAACAAUUUAAGUGUGAGCUGUGUGGCAAAGUGUUUACCAGAAAUAGCCAUCUUACCAGACACAUGUUAAUUCAUUCUGGUAUAAAGCAAUUUGUAUGUGAUGAGUGUGAUAAACCAUUCCAUAGAAAAAGUGAUCUGAACAGACAUAAAUUGACACAUAAAUAAUGUCAAAGAAGAGUAAUUUCUCUAGACUUCUGUUAAUACUUACCAUUAAAAGAGUAACCAUUUUCUAGGAAUAAUGCCCUGACAAAUGCAAUGAUUGGACAUUAUGUAAGGAAUUUUGACAUCUGAUAAAUGCUAUAAUUUUUAAAGAAAACUUUUAGAUAAUUAAGUAUCAGUUACAAAUAUACAUAAGAUUCUGUAAUGACAAUUUCAGUGAUGUUAACAUAUCUUGUUAUGCAAUGGAAAGUAUCUUUCAAAAAGCUCUGUAUUUGACGGUUUAUAAGACGCACUUUUUUUUCCCCAGAAAAUGUCCCAGAAAAUCACCCCGAGUCUAAUAAGGUCAAGGUUCAGCUUUGGGUUACUGGCUAGUGGAGUUUUAGCCCUGCAGUGGCACUUAAAUUAAACCUCAAACAUAUCCGCAGACGUAAACAAGAUGGUGAUCGCUUCUUCACCAACAACGGGAACUCUUUUCUAAAGUAACAAUACAUAACGGUAGUACUUACCACUACAUUAUAUAAAAUAUCACCAGUCAAGAAGAAAAUUAAGUCAAGACACUUAGCCAUGCUUUUACCUAAACAAACCUGCGGUCGGUUGUACACCAAACCACACGUGCAAGACACACUUUCUUUUGUUUUAAGUGUACAAAAUAUUCAAACAAAAAAUACGAUGUAGAGCACA